rnacentral:rRNA from 1 species
GGCUAACGCUGGCGGCGUGUCUUAGCCAUGCAAGUCGAGCGGACUUAUGGGGUAACUUAUAAGUCAGCGGCGGACGGCGGAGUAACACGUAGCUAACCUACCCUCUGGACGGGGAUAACCUACCGAAAGGUGGGCUAAUACCCGAUGUAGUCAUCCUGUAUAGGGGUGAUGAAAGGUGGGCUUCUGUUUACAAGCUCAUGCUGGAGAGGGGGCUGCGGCCUAUCAGGUAGUUGGUAGGGUAAUAGCCUACCAAGCCGAUGACGGGUAGCCGGCCUGAGAGGGUGACCGGCCCGAGGGGCACUGAGAUACGGGUCCCACUCCUACGGGAGGCAGCAGGCUAGAAAUUUGGGCAAUGGGGGAAACCCUGACCCAGUGACGCCGCGUGCAGGAAGGAGCCCUUCGGGGUGUAAACUGCUGUCGUGUAGGGAGAAGGGUACUAAGGUGAACAAUCUUAGUACUUGACGGUACUACAGGAGGAAGCCCAGGCUAACCUCGUG